rnacentral:rRNA from 2 species
AGAGUUUGAUCAUGGCUCAGAUUGAACGCUGGCGGCAGGCCUAACACAUGCAAGUCGAACGGUAACAGGAAACAGCUUGCUGUUUCGCUGACGAGUGGCGGACGGGUGAGUAAUGUCUGGGAAACUGCCUGAUGGAGGGGGAUAACUACUGGAAACGGUAGCUAAUACCGCAUAACGUCGCAAGACCAAAGAGGGGGACCUUCGGGCCUCUUGCCAUCGGAUGUGCCCAGAUGGGAUUAGCUUGUUGGUGGGGUAACGGCUCACCAAGGCGACGAUCCCUAGCUGGUCUGAGAGGAUGACCAGCCACACUGGAACUGAGACACGGUCCAGACUCCUACGGGAGGCAGCAGUGGGGAAUAUUGCACAAUGGGCGCAAGCCUGAUGCAGCCAUGCCGCGUGUAUGAAGAAGGCCUUCGGGUUGUAAAGUACUUUCAGCGGGGAGGAAGGGAGUAAAGUUAAUACCUUUGCUCAUUGACGUUACCCGCAGAAGAAGCACCGGCUAACUCCGUGCCAGCAGCCGCGGUAAUACGGAGGGUGCAAGCGUUAAUCGGAAUUACUGGGCGUAAAGCGCACGCAGGCGGUUUGUUAAGUCAGAUGUGAAAUCCCCGGGCUCAACCUGGGAACUGCAUCUGAUACUGGCAAGCUUGAGUCUCGUAGAGGGGGGUAGAAUUCCAGGUGUAGCGGUGAAAUGCGUAGAGAUCUGGAGGAAUACCGGUGGCGAAGGCGGCCCCCUGGACGAAGACUGACGCUCAGGUGCGAAAGCGUGGGGAGCAAACAGGAUUAGAUACCCUGGUAGUCCACGCCGUAAACGAUGUCGACUUGGAGGUUGUGCCCUUGAGGCGUGGCUUCCGGAGCUAACGCGUUAAGUCGACCGCCUGGGGAGUACGGCCGCAAGGUUAAAACUCAAAUGAAUUGACGGGGGCCCGCACAAGCGGUGGAGCAUGUGGUUUAAUUCGAUGCAACGCGAAGAACCUUACCUGGUCUUGACAUCCACGGAAGUUUUCAGAGAUGAGUUUGUGCCUUCGGGAACCGUGAGACAGGUGCUGCAUGGCUGUCGUCAGCUCGUGUUGUGAAAUGUUGGGUUAAGUCCCGCAACGAGCGCAACCCUUAUCCUUUGUUGCCAGCGGUCCGGCCGGGAACUCAAAGGAGACUGCCAGUGAUAAACUGGAGGAAGGUGGGGAUGACGUCAAGUCAUCAUGGCCCUUACGACCAGGGCUACACACGUGCUACAAUGGCGCAUACAAAGAGAAGCGACCUCGCGAGAGCAAGCGGACCUCAUAAAGUGCGUCGUAGUCCGGAUUGGAGUCUGCAACUCGACUCCAUGAAGUCGGAAUCGCUAGUAAUCGUGGAUCAGAAUGCCACGGUGAAUACGUUCCCGGGCCUUGUACACACCGCCCGUCACACCAUGGGAGUGGGUUGCAAAAGAAGUAGGUAGCUUAACCUUCGGGAGGGCGCUUACCACUUUGUGAUUCAUGACUGGGGUGAAGUCGUAACAAGGUAACCGUAGGGGAACCUGCGGUUGGAUCACCU